GGAGCGAGGGUGCUUGCACCUUAGCUUAGCGGCGGACGGGUGAGUAAUGCUUAGGAAUCUGCCUAUUAGUGGGGGACAACAUUCCGAAAGGAAUGCUAAUACCGCAUACGCCCUACGGGGGAAAGCAGGGGAUCUUCGGACCUUACGCUAAUAGAUGAGCCUAAGUCGGAUUAGCUAGUUGGUGGGGUAAAGGCCUACCAAGGCGACGAUCUGUAGCGGGUCUGAGAGGAUGAUCCGCCACACUGGGACUGAGACACGGCCCAGACUCCUACGGGAGGCAGCAAUGGGGAAUAUUGGACAAUGGGCGGAAGCCUGAUCCAGCCAUGCCGCGUGUGUGAAGAAGGCCUUUUGGUUGUAAAGCACUUUAAGCGAGGAGGAGGCUACUUAGAUUAAUACUCUAGGAUAGUGGACGUUACUCGCAGAAUAAGCACCGGCUAACUCUGUGCCAGCAGCCGCGGUAAUACGGAGGUGCGAGCGUUAAUC
rnacentral:rRNA from 1 species